UACGUAGGGCGCAAGCGUUGUCCGGAAUUAUUGGGCGUAAAGAGCUCGUAGGUGGCUUGUCGCGUCUGCCGUGAAAGCCCAUGGCUUAACUGUGGGUCUGCGGUGGAUACGGGCUGGCUAGAGGUAGGUAGGGGCAAGCGGAAUUCCUGGUGUAGCGGCGAAAUGCGCAGAUAUCAGGAGGAACACCGGUGGCGAAGGCGGCUUGCUGGGCCUUACCUGACGCUGAGGAGCGAAAGCGUGGGGAGCGAACAGG
rnacentral:rRNA from 1 species